rnacentral:rRNA from 1 species
GACGAACGCUGGCGGCGUGCUUAACACAUGCAAGUCAAGGGGAAAAUUUCGGCUUGCCGGAAUGAUUAUACUGGCGAACGGGUGAGUAACGCGUAGGCAACCUGCCUUUAUGAGUGGGAUAACUUCGGGAAACCGGAGCUAAUACCGCAUAACGUUCUUUUAACGCCUGUUAGAAGAAUCAAAGAUGCUUUUGUAUCGCAUAGAGAUGGGCCUGCGUUCCAUUAGCUUGUUGGUAAGGUAACGGCUUACCAAGGCGACGAUGGAUAGCUGAUCUGAGAGGGUGAUCAGCCACACUGGGACUGAGAUACGGCCCAGACUCCUACGGGAGGCAGCAGUGAGGAAUAUUGCGCAAUGGAGGAAACUCUGACGCAGCAACGCCGCGUGGGGGAUGAAGCACUAUGGUGUGUAAACCCCUGUAGAUAGGGA